UACGAAGGGGCUAGCGUUGCUCGGAAUCACUGGGCGUAAAGGGCGCGUAGGCGGAUCUUUAAGUCAGAGGUGAAAGCCCAAGGCUCAACCUUGGAAUUGCCUUUGAUACUGAAGAUCUUGAGACCGGGAAGAGGUUAGUGGAACUGCGAGUGUAGAGGUGAAAUUCGUAGAUAUUCGCAAGAACACCAGUGGCGAAGGCGGCUCACUGGCCCGGUACUGACGCUGAGGUG
rnacentral:rRNA from 1 species